GAAUAGGAAGAGCGCCAGUCUAGAGAUCCCAGCAUGAGCGAUGCAGAAGACGGGUGAUUUCUACAUUUCCAACUGAGGUAUUCCUUCAUAACAAUGCAAAUGAACUCAGACACAAGUCUCUGUGUUCUCCUUCAUCUAUCGUGCUACCCGAGGUUUGUUUACGUGGUAGAGACAAGGUUCAGAGAGAAAUGGUUGAAACCAGCGUAGCUUCUUGAGACACAAUGCCACUUAUGCCACAUGCUAUUGGCCAGAGCAAGUCACAGAACAUCUGGAUUCAAGAGGAGGGAAAUGGAUUCCACACCUUGAUGGAGGAGAUGCAAAGUCAUAUCACUUGGGACAUGGAUACAGGGAGGGGUGCAAUUUGGGAUGUUUUUGCAAUUAACCUACCACAGGCUUAAGGAGGCUUUUAGGAUUUACCUUCUGCUCUAAUGAGUUUCAACCACCAUGGCUUAGAGAACAUUUCUUAAAGCUCAGUCAUCUUUCACGUAUCCAUUGUUCUCCAAAGGGACUAAGUUUUGUUCCAUGGUCAGUCUUUUCCAUGU
rnacentral:sRNA from 1 species